rnacentral:rRNA from 1 species
CAGUCGCCGCGGGAAUACGAAGGGUGCAAGCGUUACUCGGAAUUACUGGGCGUAAAGCGUGCGUAGGUGGUGGUUUAAGUCCGUUGUGAAACCCCCGGGCUCAACCUGGGAAUGGCAAUGGAAACUGGACGGCUAGAGUGUGUCAGAGGAUGGUGGAAUUCCCGGUGUAGCGGUGAAAUGCGUAGAGAUCGGGAGGAACAUCAGUGGCGAAGGCGGCCAUCUGGGACAACACUGACGCUGAAGCACGAAAGCGUGGGGAGCAAACAGGAUUAGAUACCCCCGUAGUCCCUGUCUCUUAUAC